UCGAUGUCGGCUCAUCGCAUCCUGGGGCUGUAGUCGGUCCCAAGGGUUGGGCUGUUCGCCCAUUAAAGCGGUACGCGAGCUGGGUUCAGAACGUCGUGAGACAGUUCGGUCCCUAUCCGUCGUGGGCGUAGGAAAUUUGAGAGGAGCUGUCCUUAGUACGAGAGGACCGGGAUGGACGCACCGCUGGUGUACCAGUUGUCUUGCCAAAGGCAUCGCUGGGUAGCUAUGUGCGGAAGGGAUAAGUGCUGAAAGCAUCUAAGCAUGAAGCCCCCCUCAAGAUGAGAUUUCCCAUAGCGCAAGCUAGUAAGAUCCCUGAAAGAUGAUCAGGUUGAUAGGUCAGAGGUGGAAGCGUGGCGACAUGUGGAGCUGACUGAUACUAAUAGAUCGAGGAC
rnacentral:rRNA from 2 species